GCCCGGCGUCGCGGCCUCCCUAGCGCCAUGCUGGGCUUUCGGGGAGUAGUACUUGCACGGGGCCUGCGGGCCGUGGCGUCGGCAUGGCUGCGGGACUCGAGUUGCCGUGCGCUGGCCGUGGCGCACACAGCAGGCGCGCCCCGCGCAGGGGACUGGCUGUCCCCAGCCCCACCGCAGCUACACCGGCGCCCGCUCAGCCUUUCGGCCGCGGCGGUCGUGAGCUCGGCGCCCCGCCCUGUGCAGCCCUAUCUGCGCCUCAUGCGGUUGGACAAGCCCAUUGGAACCUGGCUACUGUAUUUGCCAUGUACCUGGAGCAUUGGUUUGGCAGCUGAACCAGGUUGUUUUCCAGAUUGGUACAUGUUAUCCCUCUUUGGCACUGGAGCUAUUCUGAUGCGUGGAGCAGGCUGUACUAUUAAUGACAUGUGGGAUCAUGACUACGAUAAAAAGGUUACAAGAACAGCAAAUCGUCCAAUAGCUGCUGGAGACAUUUCAAUUUUUCAAUCCUUUGUUUUUCUUGGAGGACAGCUGACCUUGGCACUGGGUAUUCUUCUGUGUUUGAAUUACUACAGUAUAGCUCUGGGAGCAGCAUCCUUACUUCUUGUCAUCACCUACCCACUAAUGAAGAGAAUUACAUACUGGCCUCAGUUAGCCUUGGGGCUGACUUUUAAUUGGGGAGCAUUACUUGGAUGGUCUGCUAUCAAGGGUUCCUGUGAUCCAUCUGUGUGCCUGCCUCUUUAUUUUUCUGGAGUUAUGUGGACACUGAUAUAUGAUACUAUAUAUGCUCAUCAGGACAAAAGAGACGAUGCUCUGAUUGGUCUUAAGUCCACAGCACUGCGGUUCCAAGAAAACACCAAGCAGUGGCUAACUGGCUUCAGUGUUGCCAUGAUGGGGGCGCUGAGCCUAGUGGGAGUAAAUAGUGAUCAAACUGUACCAUACUAUGCUGCUCUGGCCACCGUCGGAGCCCAUCUAGCUCACCAGUUCUUGGCGGACACAACAUCCUUGUUGGUAUGUGGUGCUGAGGAUCGAACCUGGACCGCACGCAUGCCAGGGAACAAGGUGAUACACUCCUCAACCACGGUCUGGAUGGCAUUGACGAAUACACAAGAUGAUCUAGAUGCUAAACACUAGAUUUGGUUGUAUUACCCAAGUGUGGUGAGGCAAACAGAAGAGGAGGCUCUGGCCAUUAAGAAGAUGGUUUGUAAUUUACUGUUUCCAAGAGGAGCGGACACAUCGCACCAUGCAGAGCCAUAGGAGGAAGCAGCCUGGUCAGGCAGGACUCAGCUUUUCACAUAUAUGGCCACAAGAUUGCCCACAGUGAGUCUCUUAAUUUCUCAGGUCCCUUUUUCGGCAGACACAACAUCUUUUUUUGUAUGUGAUGCUGAGGAUCGAACCUGGGCCGCACGCAUGCCAGGCGAGCGCGCUACCACUUGAGCCACAUCCCCAGCCUCAACUUCCAGGAUUCUGUCAGUCUUAAUAAGAAGUGGUUUUCUCUUUAUUGGUUUCUAGAUACCCAGGAUAUGAGGAUAUACCAUUCAGAGCAUAUCCUCAUGCCCACUUCAGGAGAGGGCUUGUGACUGCAACCUGGCCAAUGGAGCAGCACCUUCCUCUAGCCUCAGGGACCCAAAUGAAAGGACAACAGUGCAAUUGGACCCAAACAAGAUGGCCACUUCAGAGGAUAUGGGAGCCGUUGGCAUUAAGGUGCACAUGGAGUUGAGGAGGAAUGAAGUCAGCAUGAAGGACAGUAGAGCCAAGAGUAGAAACCUCGUUUGAGGGAACAAGGAGUUCCAAAACUGGUUAUGCCUGCAAUUCUUCAACUGUAAUGAAUAGGAUGGGUGUCUUCAGAGCAGGAAACAUGCUUGUUACCAUUGAAUCCCUCCUGCCUCACACAGGCCUGAUGUGCAGCACCUGCCCAAUGUUUAUCUGGUAAAUGAAUGAACAAAAUAAUCAGCGACUAGAACAUGAAGUCUUCGGGUUGAUUUUAUUCUAAUUACAGAUGACCUGAUGGAUCCCUUUAAUGCAGCUAGAUGAGGUAAAUGAUAAAAUGGAUAAAUCCCCAAACCUAGAACCUCUUUUUUGAUAGAAUUCAGUUGUUCCCUAAAUGAUUACUGCAUUAUUUUCCUCUUGUGUGGAUGGCUUAGACCACAACUCCAAAGGUACUUUAAUGCCAUCCCAUGGGAUCCUGAAUCCUUCUCAUGCCUUUGUCUGGGCCCCUACACUAGAGUUAUCUGAACUCCAUAAUGGCAAAAUUUCAUGUCUUUACCUUGCCUCGCUGGGGAGGCAGGCAGGUGAGAUAUACUACUGUGGAGAAGAGGGAUGCCCAAGACACUCUGGAAAACCUAAAAUCAGACGCAUAUUCUGAGGGGGGCCUGAGGGGUGACAGCAGAGGAAGAAAACAUGACUAGCACAUCGCUUCUUUGUUUCCAGGCUCUCUGUCCUGGUGCUCACUCUGUCCUCAGGGCAGACCCAUGAGGUUGAAGCUGUGACCACCAUUUUGUAUUUGAGAAUAGGGUAAAAGAAUGGGCUUUUAUGUCAGGUAGGCCUGGCUCAAAUUUCCCCCUUCCUAAAUUACCCACUUAGGGCCGCUGGGCACUGGCCACUCAAUACACAAGUCAUCACAACACUUAAGCACCAGUUGUAUGGGGCUUUUUCUCCAUAUAUCAGGCAGUCAAUCAAUCCUGGCACCAGAUUCUGCAGCAGAUACCAGCUGCAUGUCCCCUUAACCAGUCCAGUUCUGAUACUGUCUACAUAACAGUAGCAUUGGAUCCCACAGGUUGAGGGCUUGGUCCCAAGGCUCUCUCUCCAUUUCAGAGGCCAGUUGUAGGUGCAGGCAUGGCUUGUGCUGUUGACUCAUCAGCUAUCACUUGGGACUCCCUUGGACCCCCCCUUGAGUUUGAUUCAUUUCCUAGGAAGAUUCAUAGCACUCAAGAAAACACUCAUGUUUAUUAGCCUAUUAUAAAGGGUAUUCCAAAGGACAAUGAGGAAUAAUAAAGAGAUGCAUAGGGCAAGGUAUGUGGGCAGGGGUAUGUGGGCAGGAGUAUGGAGCUUUGUGCUUUCCCUGGGGCACACCACUGUUCAGACAUUCAGCUAUCUGAAAGCUGUCUGGAUCCAGUCCUUUUAUAUAUAUAUAUAUAUACAAGCUUCAUUAGAUAGGCAUAAUUGGCUAAAUUAUUGAUGUUUGGUGAUCAAUUCAACCUUCAGACUCUCUCCCCUUCCUAGAAAUUGGGCUGGGUGGGGAGAACUAAAAGAUUCCAACUUGCUGAUCAUGCCUUGGUCUAUCUUGUGACCAGAUCCUAUCCUGAAGCUACCUAGAGGCUGUUGGCCACCAGUCAUCUUAUUAGUUCACACAAAAACAUACUUAUCAUUCUGGAGAUUCUGAGGACUUCAGGAUACCAGCAAAUAGGGUAAAUACUAAAUACGUGUUUCACAAUAUCACAGGUAAGUUACUUAAUUUCUCUGGGCUCAAUUUCUUGAUCUUUAUCAUAAUAAUAAUAAUAAACACUGAUUUUUUCUAUGUCAAUUGGUAAAGCUAUAUAUAAAUACAUUCAUCAAAAUGAACUUAUUUGUGCACAGCACAUACUGGGUACUCAAUAAUCAAAGUUAUUUAUUAAAAGAACUAUCAAAGAUCCACACAGGAAGUGGCCUAGAAUGUGAAGACCUCUUGCUUCAUAAGAUCCAGGCUUGGUGGUUUGUCUUGCCUCCAAGGUCGUGAGCUCUUCCAGGACAGAAAUGGGGCCUCAUAUCUUUUUGAUUUAGUGACCUAGAUAUGGAGUGAUUAUUAUUUACACACUAGCCUACACAUAGCAUUUAUUAUGCUGAUACUGACUUUUCUAUCCAAUGAUACGUGUGAAUGGUAAUAGAUGGCUCAAAUGCCUCUCUGAAUAAGUCAGCACCAGGAUAUCCCUUCCCACUUCAUCUGCCAAGUCCAGGAACAAGCCUCUCAGCACACUUCUGGCCAGGAAGAACAUAAAGCAGGGUUUUCGUCAAGUGAGUCAUUCAAUUUUUAUAUUCAGGCAUCAUGAAAGGAAAUACAACUCCUAAGACUCACACCUAUAGGAAUGAAGGACAUUUUAACCUCUGCUAAACUAAUAGAUUUUUAGUCAGCAGUGCUGGAAACAAUCAAGUUAUUUAAAUACAGUAUAAUCAAGGUAUUUAAAUACAGUAUAAUGUGUGUGUGUGCCUACCUAAUGAUUCAUAAUGUGAUUCAUUUCCCAUCUCACCCCUCCACCUGAUUCCUUAGAACUUCCAAUUUUACCUACUGAGAUUUUCUGUUAUUCCAUCCCCCUGCCUUCUAUCUGGCCUCAGGCCCUCUGCAACCUUCACUUGCUAUGAAAUUGUUCCUUCAGGCCUCCAUGAUGUCAGUUUUACCUUCUAGAAUGCAGGCUCUGCACUGACCCCAGACCAAUGGUUCCAAAAUGCCAUGACCAUGUGCCUGCUUUGCCCCCAAUCCUUGAGCAUCUCCCCUUGUCUAGCCUUCCAGCUCUUUAGCUUGGAAUAGCCAAAUAACCAGGCAUUAGGGUUCAGGACAUGAAAUCCUAAAACAUCCCAAGUACUCUGAACUGAAAGAAUCUGGAAAGCCUCAGGAGCAAGGUCUCUCUGACUUUGUCUUGCCUUCGUAUCUCUUGCCCUCCUUCUUCCCUGAAGCAAUUGAUAGAAACCAGAAUUUCUCUUUCCCAUGGCAAGUCAUUAAAACUAAACCUCUCUGCUCCAGAGCAAGCCAUAAAACCUAGGAAAGUCACUCUCUCCCUUCUGCCUUCUCUCCUAAAGACUCAUUCCAGAGGGGUCCUGUCCUGUCCUAUAUACCCAGCAGGAAGGAAUGCUGCACAGAGCCCAGGAAGAAUCUGGACAGAUGAGCCUUGCCUCAUUUCCCCCUCUGUCCAUUUCCAUUCGGUCAUAUCCUUUGUCCCAUCACAUUUCCACAGAGCCCUCAUUCUUCCUCAACCCUAAGCAUAAAAACAGUGUUCCCAGGAUCUUUAGGUCUUCAUUUCUGAAGCCCCCAUCCUGCAUAAGGCUUUAUUAAACAAAUUCAUUAUGCUUUUCUUGUGUGGCCUGUCUUUUGUUAGAGCUGAGUGUCAGCUGUGACCCUUAGGAUGAGUAAGGAAAUGCAUCACACAUUUCUACCCUGCAGUGGCAAGAAGGAAUAUUGAAUGUCUCAAAAUUUUUUGAGAUUUAAGGCUGGCUGCCCAAUUCUUAUUUCUAAACAAGUUUCCAGAAGCUUUUUAAAAAUUGUUAUUAUUUUUAAUGAACCUCAAGCUUGGCUAGUUUAGGCCUCACUAGCCCACAUGGAAAUCAUAUGCUGCUUUUUAAUUUUAUGUUUUGCAGUGCUGGAAAUCAAACCCAAGGCCCAGCAUAUGCUAGGAAAGCAGUCUACCAUUAGAGUACUUUAUUAGGAGGUAAUGAAAUUUUAAGAAUCUGAAAAAAAUAAACAAGCCUUGGACCUUCAUCCAAUGUGAGUUUUCCAAUCUGUCCUAGUGAAGAAUGUUAUCUGGAAAAUGUCACAAAAAAAUAAAUGCAAUGAGAUUGAAUGCUGAGUCUACUUUCUUAAAUAUAAAAACAUUGGCACCCCUCCCCCAAGUUAGUGAAGAACGGCAAGAUGUUUUUUCUCCACUCUUCCUCAUUCCUCCACCCGCAAUCUCCUUGCAAGAACAGUGUUCUGUGUUCUGCUAAGCUUCUGAUUGUCAUAGGCUGUGGUCCACUGUAGUUAGCCCAGCGGUGGUAGGUAUUUUUGCAACACAGAAUAUCUUUCAGUGUUGCAACCCUGUUGUCUUUCUCUUCUAUCUUCUUUCAACAGAAAGGAAAAAAGAAUUCUUGCUGGAGGUGUAGCUCAGUGGUAGAGUAUGUACUUAGCAUACUUGAGGCCCUGGAUUCAAUCUGUAGCACCAAACCCAAAUCAAAAUCUAAACCAAAACAAAAAAUGUAAAGUCUGUAAAAUCUUACUAUACAACUGAGACAAGCCAGGAGGAAAUGAGUGGUAAAUGUUAACUAUUUGCAUAGGUUACUCUUAAAAACCUACAUCUGCAAUAUGAAAUUGUCUUUUAAAUUAAAUUUGGUGGUAGUGAUUCCUAAGAGCUUGUAGUAUCAUACUUUUUUCUUUUGCUACUAAGAGCUGAGAGUGUAACCAAGUGUCAGAGCAUUUGCCUAGCAUGAGUGAAGCCCUAGAUUCCAUCCUCAGCAUGACAAAAAAAGAAAGAAAGAAAGAAAGAACAAUACUACUAGAAGAUCAUUUAUUUUUUUCCUAUGAUUCAUAAUUUUUUUCUUAAUCAGUAAAGAAGAGAUCAUUGUAUCACCAGUAAAACUGAUGGGUCUAAACAGAAUGUUCCAAAUUUCUUCUAAAAGUUUUAUUUCUUCUUUUGUAAUUGGGUUCAAGAUUUGCUGGUUUUGCUUAGGGUGGAGACACAAUGUCUAUUGCAGUCAUGUUGAGGUUCAUCAUUAUUUGAUUGUCAGAAGGUAACUCUAAAUGUCAAAAACAAUUUUUGAAAUUGUUAUUUUCCUGAGUUGUUGCUUUCUUUUUGUGGCAAUAUAACUGAAGUGGCUCUCCGUGUUUUUACAGCAGAGGGAAUGAUUGUUCCUUCUCUCUUGGAUGAUUUAAAGAAAGGACAAAAGAGAAGCUGUGUUUUCUCCCUCUUCUAGGCCAUUUGGGCAAAUGACAACUCUUCAGAUGGUUGGUUAAAGGCUUGGGGGCAGGAUGGAGAAAGGGUGGGGUGGUAUUUCUAAUGUCCGGGUGUUCAGUCUUUAUAUACCAAAAUUGUGGAUGUGAGACUUACAGUUCUGUUUUCAUACAUUUGUAUAUUCCCCUGAUUGUUAAAAACACAGAUUGAGUAUCUACUCUGCUUCGAGCACUACGACAUUAUGGUAGGAGAAAAAGUUGAAUGGCCUCACGCUCAGUAAAAACUAGAGACCUGAAACUAGCUGACCUUAAAAGAUGACCAGUACCAGACAGACAUCUUUAGAGCCCUGGAACGUGUUGAAAACUGUAUGGCCAGCUACCCACUCAUGCCCCUCCUUGUGUAAAUAAUUUUAAAGAAGUCCAGUAAAAUGCAAUUCUUUCUCCUAAGGAUGAUAUUUGAGAACAAAUAAACUAAACUGUUUCCCUAUAUUCUAUUUGACUUUGCCCCAGCUUUAUUGGCACUCUAAGGAUGAGCUUAAUUUGCUUCCUGGGAAAUCCAAUCCUAAGGACACCCCUGAGAGCUGGUGACUGCAGUGGCAAAGUUCAGAGGAGGCCAGAGGACAAGGCAGGCCUGAGGGCGUAGCCAUCAUCCUAUUAAACUAGUCCUUAAUGCUGCAUGGAAACUCACCUGGGUUUUCCUUCCAGAAGUGAAGACAGAGACAAGUGUACGUGCACUUAAUAGUUGUCCCGUUUAGCCCAUGGGCCUUGUUUUGGAAGGACACACCUGGAGGCUUUUAGAAAAAAGAACUAUUUCAUAAUCAAGUAUUCAUAAGCUGAUGCCUUCUUCCUGAAUUCAAUUUAUCCACAUUUAAGAAUUUCAUAACCACAAGGAAAUCACAUUUUUAUUUAAGUUUUGAGACCCAUUUAUAUUGACUAGAGGAGUCAAUGAAAUGGUUUUGUUGUCUUCUUAUAAAAUAUUGAAUGUGACUUGUUCAAGUUUCUCAUUACAGGCACUCCUCAAAUUCAACAUUCUGUAAGUUUUUAACCACUAGUUUUAUGUCUAAGGACCAGCAUUAUCUUAGACCUCUUUCAUGGACCCCCUUAUAAAUUAUGACAUUUUGACAGAAACCUUUCACUUUCCCAUUACCAAACUAAAUUUUAAGUCAUUUACCAAAGUUGGCUGCUCACUAAAAAAGUUAAAAACAAAAACACAUGGCCCAAAUCUCGUUGAGAUAUUUUGUACUAAAGUAGCUAUUAUUAGUUAAAUGGACUGACCAAGUAAACUUCAGCCCACCUGGGUCAGACAAUGUCAAUUCAAAUUUGAAGUCAUAGCAAGGUUUAAGGCACAGUGCUACAUUUCAUGGUUCUUCUGAUUCUUUUAGCCAAGAUGUUAGAUCUGAGACAGUUAAACUACUGAUCUUCUGUGAACAUGACCCGCUAGCAGAUACAUUAAGCAUGGCUGAAGCUGAGUUCUCUGCAAAUGCAGAAGCUGGGCAUUCCCUCUUUGCCUUUUGGGAUUUCUCCCUGCUGAUCUCCGCAAAUAAUUGAAAUAAGUGAAGAGAGAAAUAGAAUCUAAAAAGGCAAGACAGGAGUCUGAUGGAAAUAAAGAGUUGCUUAAGCAAGGAAUUUGAUUUUAGUUGAGAGCUUUCGGGAUAUCUGCAUGGAAGUUGUAGAAGUUGAAACUUUUAAGAUAUACCAAAAAUUCAUUCACUCAACUACCAGUAUUUCAGCCCUUGAUUCUGCAGAAAGGAUUAAGUUGUGGGAUUGUUGCAGAACCCAAGCAGCCACAGGGGUUCCAUGAUCCUGCAGGAAGACUUUCAAGUGAGUCAUACAGAAUAUAGUUGGGGUUUAUGAGAAAAUUGAGAAAUUAGGGUAAGGUUCAAUAAGGCACCCCAUAGACUGCCUCAGGAGAGAAAGGCUUGGCUCUUAGAGUCUGGGGUUUCUAAGGGUUUGGGGUUCCUUUGUUCUUGCCUUAGUUUCACAUAUCCCCCAUUAAGAGGUUUAUUAUCUUUCAUAUAGCCCUCAGCAGAUUUCCUUUGUGAGGGUCCUGAUGACCUAGAUACCAGGGGAGGGUUAUGAUGACCUGGUCACAAGAGGUGGGUGUGACAUGAUCUUGAAACAAUCAUUUCUUUCUUUUAGAGUUUAUAAUUAACUACAUACAGCUGGGGGAAUUUUGGCAUACUAGUUCUCAGUUCCAGAUGUUCCUCUGUUUUGAUAAGAUUCCCGCUGGUUCCCUGUCCUGUGACCUUGGACUCUCUUUGAUACAUGUCUGAUGUCCUCCCCCUUCAUUUCCUUCCCCACCCACCUGGCUGACUGCUAUACAGCAGAGUGAUCUAUAUGAACUCAGAUCAGACUCUUGAUGUUCUUAGAUGCUGCCUUUUCUUUUUUUUAAUAUUUAUUUUUUAGUUAUUGGCGGACAUAACAUCUUUGUUUGUAUGUAGUGCUGAGGAUCGAACCCGGGCCGCACGCAUGCCAGGCGAGCGCGCUACCGCUUGAGCCACAUCCCCAGCCCCAAAUGCUGCCUUUUCACACCUCCACAAGAGUCAUAGUAGAGACAUGUCAACUAAUUCAAUAAUGAUUCUGAGCUCUAGAUACCAAAAGAGAAGUGGUUAACCCCUCCCCACCCUGGGUUCAAUCUCUGGUUUAAAAAAAAAAAAAAGACAGAAAGAAAGAAAAAGAAAUCUAAACUGGUGAAAAUUCUAUUCCAGCAGGAAUGUCAAAGAAUAUGCAUCCUCUAAUCAAGCUAAUUUUUGUUUUUACUUAUAGUUUUGAAGCAUCCCAUAUCAUCAGAGUUAAAUACUUGCAUGGGAUCAUUUUGGCUUUUCAUAGAUCAUUUAUGAUCUGAUAAGUAUUUAAAAUUUAUUUUUUCUUUCUUUCUUUUUUAAGAGACAAGGUCUCACUGUGUUGCCUGGCCUGGCCCUGAACUCAUGGAGUCAAGUGACCCUCUGCCUCAGCCUCCCAAGUUGCUGGGACUAUAGGAGUGUGCCACAGUGCCUGCUUUAGUGACUGUAAAAUCACUGCUUGGUCUUCAAGGCUUUAUUAGGAAAUGUCUGUUUUACUUAUUGCAGAGAUACUGUUAAGUACUUUGACCACUCUAUGUCAUAAAUUGUCUCCUUUUUGAUGAGCUAUUUCCAAAGGUUUCAGUUUUUUUCCUAUUUUAUAGAUAUGGCCAAUCUUCUAAACCUUUGUGUUCCCUCUUUGCUUUGCCUGAUAGGAAGCUGAGAGUCUAAUUUGCAACCUGCUUUGGAACCUUAAAGCAAUUCAUUAAACUUGCUCCAGGCUUUAUUUUCCCUGUGCCUGGUUUCUUCAUUUUUUAUUUUGUAUUUUAUUAUAUACAUUAGACUAUAAACUGCUCAAAACUUAAGAACAAAAUGAGGGUAUGAAUUAGAGUUUUUCAGCCUCUACACUACUGGGCCAAACAUUCCCUGUUGGGAAUUGGAGAAGGCCAGCUGUCCCAGACAGUAUGGGAUGCUUAGCAGCAUUCCUGGCCUCUGCUCACUAGAUGUCAACAGCAGUUCUACCCCAUCCCACUACCCCACACUGUGGUAACUAAACCUAUCACCAGACAUUGCCAAAUAUUUCCUUGGGGGCAACACCAACUCUGGUUGAAAAUCACUCCUGUUUAAAAACUUGUAUGAGUGAAUAAAUAAGCUGGUACUGAGCACUUAAUAUUUUUUAGGCUAUCUGCAGGACACUGUCCUUACAAGACAUGACAAUGACUGAGGUUCAGUUAUUUGCCCUCUGACAAUCCUACAAAUGAGUCAAGGAGAAAAGCAUCUAAGUGCUUAGAAUACAUCUAUCUAAAUUUCAUAUAGAUGUUCUCACAGCUUCCUGUUGUUCUUUUAAUGACCCUGGGAAGAAGGAAGUGAAGAUGCUCUCCACUGAGAGCUAGCCAAGCAUCAGUGCCAUAAUUAGAGCCCAGUGACUUCCCCUGCAAUCUAGUGGAUGCUUCACCACGCCUGGAAAAUUUUCAGCAAAGGAGAGGCAAAUCCAGCUUGGAGGAUUAGAAAAGGCUUCAUGGAGGAGGUAGUUUUUGAGAAAGGUAAAGAAGGAGACAGGAGGGCUGGGGCCGUAGCUCAGAGGUAGAGCUCCUGCCUCGCAUGUCUGAGGCACUGGGUUCAAUCCUCAGCACCACAUAGAAAUGAAUAAAGAUAUUGUGUCCAACUACAACUAAAAAAUAAAUAAAUAAAUAAAAGCCUCUUAAAAAAAAAGAAGGAGGAGGAGACAGGAAGCAGGGACAGACAGCAGUUGCAACAAAAAAAGGAAUGCUUUCAGAGUGAUGGCCAGAUAGUAUAAAGAAGCGGAAAUCAAAAGGACUGAGAAAAUACAGCAAGUCAUGUUGUGAGGAGCUUCAGAGGACAGACCUGAAUGGUUUGGGGUGAAAUUGCAUCUUCCCCCAGGACCAUGUAUACCUGCCACCCAUCUCACAAAUUAUGGAAUAAUUUAGAUAAUAAUAAAGGUAGAUAAGAAGCUUAAUAAGUUAGGUCAUGAGAGAGGGGAGCUAUGGUGAAAUGACCCUGGAGGCUUCCAAGGACCCAGCUUAUCAUCUGCUCUUUAUCUCUUCUCCCACAAACCCAGAUUACAUGAUUUACUGAGCCAAGUUCCUUUUACUUUCUUUUUAAAAAAUUGGCUCUUUUUUAGUUAUACAUGACAGUAGAAUCCAUUUUGAUAUAAUUUUAUACAAACGUAAUAGAUCUUAUUCUAGUUAGGACCCCAUUUUCUAGAGGUACACAAUGGUGGGAUUCACUAUGGUUCUCCUCUCCCCCUUUAUUGUGGGUUAGCUUCCACAUACCAGCAAAACCAUUCAACUUUCAGCUUUGGGGGGUUGGCUUAUUUCACUUAGCAUGAUAGUCUCCAGAUCUAUCCAUUUACUCAGCCAUAAAGAAGAAAGUCAUUCUUCUUUAUGGCUGAGUAAUACUGCACUGUGUAUAUAAUACUCCAUCCCUUUUACUUUCUUAUUUUAUUUUAUUUUAUUUUUUGAUACCAGAGAUUGAACUCAGGGGCACUCAACCACUAAACCACUGAGCCACAUCCUCAGCCCUAUUUUGUAUUUUAUUUAGAGACAGAGUUGCUUAGCAUCUCACUUUUGCUGAGGCUGGCUUUGAACUCACGAUCCUCCUGCUUCAGCCUCCCAAACUUUUACUUUCUUGAUGAAAAAAGAAUAACUGAACUUUGCUGGUGUCAGAAAAAUAUCCAGUCUUGUACUCUCAAAAAGACAUAUUGCUGAGAAGCCUCCUAAUUUAAGCAUUAUCAGAUCUAAACACCAUUUUUAAUAUGAAGAAAAAUGGUUUGUAGUAGAUUUUAUUUAUAGAAAUGUUGAGCUUAAAUUAGGAAUUGCCAUACCUACCACUAUGCAUAAGUCUCCCUAUAACAGGAAAUAAUGAAUAAUGCAUUGUUUUGAUUAAGAUUUCAGAAAUGGCGUUGGUACUUUAGGCAGAAUCCUACUGCUGGACUCUGACACCCAUAGGUUCUGGGGGAGUGAAGGAGAGAACUAGACUUAGAUAGGACUCAAUCCCAGGAUCAAAAUCCCAGCUAGUGGUUCCAGCUUCAGAGAAGCUCGAGGAGGGGAGCAAUCAUUGAAAGAAGCAGAGUCUGAUGGGGCCUGGGGGAGCUCGAGGCUACAGGGGUGCGGGAGCCUGAACCCAAAUAGGGCAGGUGACUACUCUCCUUUCCAUUCCCACUGUACAAACAGAAGGGGCCCUUUCCUCAGCGAUGGCCUAACAGAUGACAAAGCACAGGCCCUUCUCCAUUGACUUGACUUGAGUUUCUUGUUCUAGAAAUUAGAUUAAGAGCCCUAAUGAGAAUAGAAUGGGUUAAUGUGACUCAUGAAAUUAUCUGGUAGGACACUGAAUGCCUGAAAGAGAGGAACAAGAAGGAAAUGAGGAGAUGGGAACAGGGGAAAUUCAGCGUCUUGAGAAUCCGAAAGUGAAGAGUUAUUUGUCUGUUUUUACCUGAAUCAAUCAGGACAACUCAGACUGGUUAAGAGAAAGAGACUUCAGUUCAAGGACUGGGUAGUUAAUAAAUACCACAUUCACCCCUCACUAUCUGUGUGCAUUGGUCCCAGGAUCUCCAUGGAUAUUAAAAAAACAAACAAACUGAGGAUCCUUAUCUAAAUUAUAUUCGCUCACACUCUCCUAGGUUAUUUUAUUGUCUAAUACAAUGUAAAUGCUAGGUACAUAGUUGUGUUGUCUAGGAAAUUAUGUCAAGGAAAAAAAAAUCUGUACAAGUCCAGUUUUUUUUAAACAGAAUAUUUUUGAUCCAUACUUGGCUGAAUCUUUGGAUGCAAAUUGAGGAUAAAACUCCUUCCAAAAGACAGAGGACUUGGUAGAAUGUAAGAGCAGAGACUUUGGCUUUAGUUCACCUGAAAUGAAUUAGUGCUAAACCCAGUGUGGCUGAAUCUCACAAUCCAAAUUUCAAGCAGAAGAAGCCAGAAACAAAAGCAUAAACAACCUAGAAUUAAUCCAGAAUUCAAUAAACACAAGGUUCAAACAGGCAAACCAGCCUCCUGUGUUAGAAGACAGGGUAGCAGUCACUUUUAGUGGAGGGUUAUGACGAUGGCUCUGUCAGUGGGGGAAGCUCCUGGAGUGCUAGCCAGGUCCUCGCUCUUGAAUCAGGUCAUGGUCAAGUCACAAGAAGUGCUCCCUUGGAGAAACUUGGGGCAUCAUAUGAUCUCUGUACUUCACUGUUUGUAUGUUACACUUCAACUGAAAUAGAAAAAUGUGGGCUCGAGCUGCACCUCAGCAGUAGAACACUAUUUGCCUGACAUGUGAGGCCCUGGGUUCAAUCCCAGCAAGAAAUGAAGUGGGGGGAGAGAGAGAGUGGGAGAGAGAGAGAGAGAGAGAGAAAGAAAGAGAAAAAAGAGAAGGAAAGGAAAAGAAAGGAAGGGGAGGGGCUGGGAGAAGAAAGGUACAGAACUGGUCGGGUUAGACUGUGCACACAGGAGCAAUAAGCAGAGGGAAGAGAAAAAAGGAAGGGGUGGAGGUGGUGGACCUUGCAGGAACUUACAUACACACGAGAGGAAGUUCAGAACUGAAUGUGAACAAAUCUAUGGGGACCCUGGUCUCACAUGUGGGUCCUGAGUUCCCGGACUUGCAUUGUGAACAUUUUAGAACUAAGAAAUAAUGUGUUCAGUUUCAUUCCUCAUGGAGACCGCUGGUCAGGCCUACUGGAGUCAGGGUUUAUAUAUCUGGUAGGAAACUGGAUUAGAAUCUCUCCCAGUUUGAAUCCCAGCCCUGCUAUUUUGUCACUCUGGACAUGUAACUUAUUUUCUGAUUCGUUCCCUUUCUUCCAAGGGCUAAAAUCCAAGCCUUCUGAUACCUAACCCAUUGGUCAUCUGUCCCCCACCACUUGGCCUUGUUCUGGGCAGUGGGUUUCCAGGCAAUUGUCCAUUUGAUUAAAUCAAGCCUACGCCCUGCUAUUUAGCGACAUUUAGUUUAACAUAGGCACGGUGGCAUCAGGUCACUGAGAAAACAUUAUGCUUAAUAGAUGUAGUUCAUUGACAUAUCUUAUCAUUAAUUCAAUAACUCAGUGAGACACGGUGUAUUAUUUUAAAGUGUCAAAACUGACACUUUAAAAGUGUCAAAAAAGUGUCAAAACUGAGGCUCAGAGAAGUCAGUUUACUUGUCCAAGAAAACACAGAAUGUAAAAGUAGAUUUGAAGCCAGGUUCAUUUGUCUCCACUGUUUCUAAUCAUGAUCUCAUCCUUGGCUAGUCAAAAGGUGGACAGGGAUCAGCAUCAUAGAUGCUGAUAAUUGGAAGGCAAAACCCAGGUCCCAGUAUGGAUCUACUAAGCUGGAACCUACAUUUUAAAAGGAUAUGUAGAUGAGUCCUGUGCUUGUUAUAAUUUAAGAACCACUGAUCUAAUCAGAGAAAUGAAAAGUUGUGAAGCAGAAAAAAAAAAAGACCACUGAUCUAUAUCAUUGUUCAGUGUAAAUCUAUAUGUAGAAGC